rnacentral:rRNA from 1 species
AUUGAACGCUGGCGGCAUGCCUUACACAUGCAAGUCGAACGGCAGCACGGGAGCAAUCCUGGUGGCGAGUGGCGAACGGGUGAGUAAUAUAUCGGAACGUGCCCAGUCGUGGGGAUAACGUAGCGAAAGCUACGCUAAUACCGCAUACGAUCUAUGGAUGAAAGCGGGGGGAUCGCAAGACCUCGCGCGAUUGGAGCGGCCGAUAUCAGAUUAGGUAGUUGGUGAGGUAAAGGCUCACCAAGCCGACGAUCUGUAGCUGGUCUGAGAGGACGACCAGCCACACUGGGACUGAGACACGGCCCAGACUCCUACGGGAGGCAGCAGUGGGGAAUUUUUGGACAAUGGGCGCAAGCCUGAUCCAGCAAUGCCGCGUGCAGGAUGAAGGCCUCGGUUGUAAC